ACCAGAUCGGUCAAGCAUAGUGUUGUGGAGCGUAGUGAAGUAUUGUGGAGCGUAGAUGAAGGCAGUGUGUGGUGUUGUGAUGUUAGGCGAUCGGUGUGAGUGUGUGUUGUGGAGCUGACCUUCCAUCUGCCUUCCAUCUGCCUGCGGUAGCGAGCGCAUCACCGUGUAUUCCUGUGGAUCGGCAGUGUGUGGUGUUGUGAUUUUAGGCGAUCGGUGUGAGUGUGUGUUGUGGAGCUGACCUUCCAUCUGCCUUCCAUCUGCCUGCGGUAGCGAGCGCAUCACCGUGUAUUCCUGUGGAUCGGCAGUGUGUGGUGUUGUGAUUUUAGGCGAUCGGUGUGAGUGUGUGUUGUGGAGCUGACCUUCCAUCUGCCUGCGGUAGCGAACGCAUCACCGUGUAUUCCUGUGGAUCGGUGUGUGGAGCGAGGGAGAGCCGUGAUAGCAGUGUGCGGCGGAUGUGUUGGAGAGUAAGGACAGAGUUGGAGUGUAAUAAUGUAUGUUGUAAUUUAUUUAAAGUAUUAAUAAAUGGUGUGUGUAUAAUAGGAUAAGUAUAGGAUGUGCGGCGCAGUGCAGUUUGCAGUGUGCGGCGGAUGUUUUGGAGAGUUAGGAGAGAGUUGUAGUGUAAUAAUGUAAGAUGUAAUUUAUUUAAAGUAUUAAUAAAUGGUGUGUGUAUAAUAGGAUAGGUAUAGGAGGUGUAGGGGGCGUGGCCGGGGAAGUGUGUCGUAUAGGUA